rnacentral:misc_RNA from 1 species
GCAUAAGAGACUUACAAUAUCAAUAUGGAACAAGUCAAAUGACAUAUUAGACACACCAUUCAACAUUUAAUGACCGAACAUAAAAUUGACAAUUUAAAGACUUAUUAGCCACUUUUUAAAUAAAGAAUUUGGCCACAGGCCUAUUUAGGAUUCAAAUAGACAUAUACCAACCUUCAAGAACCAAAUUUGUAAUUUAAAGUAAUGGCAUAUUAUCCCUACUUUUUAAACCUUCU